rnacentral:rRNA from 1 species
UAUCUCUGUAGAGUCUGCAUAUCAAUAAGCGGAGGAAAAGAAACUAACAAGGAUUCCCUUAGUAACGGCGAGUGAAGCGGGAAGAGCUCAAAUUUGAAAUCUUCAAGGUUCUACCUUGACGAAUUGUAGUUUAAAGAAGUGUUUUCUGUUAGAUGAGUAGCAAAAGUUCCUUGGAAUGGGACAUCAUAGAGGGUGAGAAUCCCGUAUUUGGUUAUUCAUUCUAGCUUUGUGAUACACUUUCAAAGAGUCGGAUUGUUUGGGAAUGCAGUCCAAAAUGGGUGGUAAAUUUCAUCUAAAGCUAAAUAUUGGCGAGAGACCGAUAGCGAACAAGUACCGUGAGGGAAAGAUGAAAAGAACUUUGAAAAGAGAGUUAAACAGUACGUGAAAUUGUCAAAAGGGAAGCGUUUGACACCAGUGUUGUUUUUCCAAAAUCAAUUACGAAUGGCUUGAUUCUGUGUUGUAUUGACCUUAUCAGCUUUCUUCACUUUUUUCGAGUCUUUCUUAAUGCACUUUUCGGUUAACAAGUCAACAUCAAUUUCUUUUGUUGUAAAAGAGUAUUCGGAAGGUGGCUUUCUUUUCGGAGAAAGUGUUUAUAGCCCUAUACUUCUACAAUCGGAGAGAUUGAGGUCUGCAGCGUAGAUCCUUCGGGGUUAGAUACACUUGUGCUAAGUUGUAGCUUUUCAUAGACAACUUGUUGACUAUGUUUAGUCAUGCGGCUUACUCGCUUGUGCUAUUUUACCUACGCUUAGGAUGUUGACGAGACUGUCGAUCUC